AAGGGGAGCAAUCCCUGAGUACAGCGGCGUACGGGUGAGUAACACGUGGAUAAUCUACCUCUUAGUGGGGAAUAACCCUGGGAAACCGGGGCUAAUACCGCAUAAGCCUGUAAAGGGAAAGCGCCUAUUUAAAAGAUGGGCGCGCUGGGAGAGGAGUCCGCGGCCGAUUAGCUAGUUGGUGAGGUAAUGGCCCACCAAGGCGACGAUCGGUAGCCGGCCUGAGAGGGCACACGGCCACACUGGCACUGAAACACGGGCCAGACUCCUACGGGAGGCAGCAGUGGGGAAUCUUGCACAAUGGGGGAAACCCUGAUGCAGCGACGCCGCGUGAGCGAUGAAGCCCUUCGGGGUGUAAAGCUCUUUCGGCAGGAACGAUAAUGACGGUACCUGAAGAAGAAGCUGCGGCUAACUACGUGCCAG
rnacentral:rRNA from 1 species